rnacentral:snoRNA from 11 species
AAAGCACAUUGCAGAAGUCCAACUUUGAGGUUACCAGCACAUGCACUACCAUCUUA